rnacentral:rRNA from 1 species
GAUGAACGCUAGCGGCAGGCCUAACACAUGCAAGUCGAGGGGUAACAGGGAGUGCUUGCACUCUGCUGACGACCGGCGCACGGGUGCGGAACGCGUAUGGAACCUGCCCCUGUCAGGGGAAUAGCCCAGAGAAAUUUGGAUUAAUGCCCCAUGGUAUCGAACCACCGCAUGGUGGUUUGAUUAAAGAUUUAUCGGACAGGGAUGGCCAUGCGUACCAUUAGCUAGUUGGUGAGGUAACGGCUCACCAAAGCAACGAUGGUUAGGGGCCCUGAGAGGGGGAUCCCCCACACUGGUACUGAGACACGGACCAGACUCCUACGGGAGGCAGCAGUGAGGAAUAUUGGACAAUGGCCGAAAGGUUGAUCCAGCCAUGCCGCGUGCAGGAUGACGGCCCUAUGGGUUGUAAACUGCUUUUACAUGGGAAGAAACCUCCCCUCGUGAGGGGAGCUGACGGUACCAUGAGAAUAAGGACCGGCUAACUCCGUGCCAGCAGCCGCGGUAAUACGGAGGGUCCGAGCGUUAUCCGGAAUCAUUGGGUUUAAAGGGUCCGUAGGCGGGCCUAUAGGUCAGGGGUGAAAGGCCACGGCUCAACCGUGGGACUGCCCUUGAUACUGUAGGUCUUGAGUUAUAGUGGGGUUGCCGGAACAUGUGGUGUAGCGGUGAAAUGCAUAGAUAUCACAUAGAACACCGAUCGCGAAGGCAGGUGACCAACUAUAUACUGACGCUGAUGGACGAAAGCGUGGGUAGCGAACGGGAUUAGAUACCCCGGUAGUCCACGCCGUAAACGAUGGAUACUAGCU